UGAAGCACUUGUGGAUGCCUGGCUGUAUUUCCCAGGCUUAAAGGGGAUUGGAGAGCUCUUCUACCGUCCAGUGGGUGGCGUUGCUGAGCGAAAUUCCAGGAGUGGGCGAACAGUAAAAUUCCGAAACGAUACGGGUUCUUCAAUAAUGAUUCUCAAUUGAUGAAUUAUGUACUCGGCACAGGUGGUCACCACCAUCCAUCAACAGGUUCGCGAUUGCUGGGAUACUUCGGCCACCUGUACAUCGUGGCGAGCGGAGAUAGAUUUUAACAGUGGUCGCUACCAUCCACCAGCCCAGUUCUAGAUUACUGGAACAUUUCGAUCAUCUUUACAUCGUCACAGAUGGUUCGUGCAUGUACCAGGGAUCUGUCAAAUCAUUAGUCCCUUAUCUCAACACG